AGAGUUUGAUCAUGGCUCAGAAUGAACGCUGGCGGCGUGCUUAACACAUGCAAGUCGCACGAGAACGCUUCAGCUUGCUGAAGUAAAGUGGCGCACGGGUGAGUAACGCGGAAUCUAUCUCUGAAUUGGGGAUAACAUUGCGAAAGCGAUGCUAUACCGGAUGAUAUCCAUUAAACCUCGGUUUUUUGGAUCAAAGGUGGCCUCUACAUGUAAGCUACUGUUUGGAGACGAGCCCGCGUACCAUUAGCUUGUUGGAGGGUAACGGCUUACCAAGGCAACGAUGGUUAGCUGGCUGAGAGGAUGAUCAGCCACACUGAACUGACACACGGUCCAGACUCCUACGGAGGCAGAGUGAGGAAUUUUGCGCAAUGGNNGAAACCCUGACGCAGCAACGCCGCGUGAGUGAUGAAGCUUUCGGGUCGUAAAGCUCUGUCAAGUGGGAAGAACCCGCGCCGCACAAAUAGUGCGGGGCGCUGACGGUACCACUGAAGGAAGCACCGGCUAACUCCGUGCCAGCAGCCGCGGUAAUACGGGGGGUGCAAGCGUUAUUCGGAAUCAUUGGGCGUAAAGAGCGCGUAGGCGGUCUUCUAUGUCAGGUGUGAAAGCCCGGGGCUCAACCCCGGAAGUGCACUUGAAACUGGGAGACUUGAGUAUGGGAGAGGGAAGUGGAAUUCCUGGUGUAGCGGUGAAAUGCGUAGAUAUCAGGAGGAACACCGGUGGCGAAGGCGACUUCCUGGACCAAUACUGACGCUGAGGCGCGAAGGCGUGGGGAGCAAACAGGAUUAGAUACCCUAGUAGUCC
rnacentral:rRNA from 1 species